CCUACGGGCGACAGCAGUGAGGAAUAUUGGUCAAUGGGCGCGAGCCUGAACCAGCUAAGCCGCGUGAAGGAAGAAGGUACUUAGUAUUUUAAACUUCUUUUUUCGGGGAACAAAGGCGGAGACGCCUCUCCGGAUGAGUGUACCCGAAGAAAAAGCAUCGGCUAACUCCGUUCCAGCAGCCGCGGUAAUACGGAGGAUGCGAGCGGUAUCCGGAUUGAUGGGGUUAAAGGGGUGCGCAGGCGGGAGAUCAAGUCAGCGGUAAAAUGUCGGGGCGAAACCCCGGCCGGCCGUUGAAACUGGUUUUCUAGAGUGGGAGAGAAGUAUGCGGAAUUCGUGGUGUAGCGGUGAAAUGCAUAGAUAUCACGAAGAACACCGAUUGCGAAGGCAGCAUACCGGCUCCAUACUGACGCUGAGGCACGAAAGCGUGGGGAUCGAACAGGAUUAGAUACCCUUGUAGUC
rnacentral:rRNA from 1 species